AUAUCAAUAAGCGGAGGAAAAGAAACCAACAGGGAUUGCCCUAGUAACGGCGAGUGAAGCGGCAACAGCUCAAAUUUGAAAUCUGGCUCUUUCAGAGUCCGAGUUGUAAUUUGCAGAGGGCGCUUUGGCUUUGGCAGCGGUCCAAGUUCCUUGGAACAGGACGUCACAGAGGGUGAGAAUCCCGUACGUGGUCGCUAGCUAUUGCCGUGUAAAGCCCCUUCGACGAGUCGAGUUGUUUGGGAAUGCAGCUCUAAAUGGGAGGUAAAUUUCUUCUAAAGCUAAAUAUUGGCCAGAGACCGAUAGCGCACAAGUAGAGUGAUCGAAAGAUGAAAAGCACUUUGGAAAGAGAGUCAAACAGCACGUGAAAUUGUUGAAAGGGAAGCGCUUGCAGCCAGACUUGCUUGCAGUUGCUCAUCCGGGCUUUUGCCCGGUGCACUCUUCUGCAGGCAGGCCAGCAUCAGUUUGGGCGGUGGGAUAAAGGUCUCUGUCACGUACCUUCCUUCGGGUUGGCCUUAUAGGGGAGACGCCAUACCACCAGCCUGGACUGAGGUCCGCGCAUCUGCUAGGAUGCUGGCGUAAUGGCUGUAAGCGGCCCGUCUUGAAACACGGACCAAGGAGUCUAACAUCUAUGCGAGUGUUUGGGUGUCAAGCCCGAGCGCGUAAUGAAAGUGAACGGAGGUGGGAACCCGCAAGGGUGCACCAUCGACCGAUCCUGAAGUUUACGGAAGGAUUUGAGUAAGAGCAUGGCUGUUGGGACCCGAAAGAUGGUGAACUAUGCUUGAAUAGGGUGAAGCCAGAGGAAACUCUGGUGGAGGCUCGCAGCGGUUCUGACGUGCAAAUCGAUCGUCAAAUUUGGGCAUAGGGGCGAAAGACUAAUCGAACUAUCUAGUAGCUGGUUCCUGCC
rnacentral:rRNA from 1 species